CCUACGGGAGGCAGCAGUGGGGAAUAUUGGACAAUGGGCGCAAGCCUGAUCCAGCAAUGCCGCGUGAGUGAUGAAGGCCUUAGGGUCGUAAAGCUCUUUUACCAGGGAUGAUAAUGACAGUACCUGGAGAAUAAGCUCCGGCUAACUCCGUGCCAGCAGCCGCGGUAAUACGGAGGGAGCUAGCGUUGUUCGGAAUUACUGGGCGUAAAGCGUACGUAGGCGGUUAUUCAAGUCAGAGGUGAAAGCCCGGGGCUCAACCCCGGAACGGCCUUUGAAACUAGGUAGCUAGAAUCUUGGAGAGGUCAGUGGAAUUCCGAGUGUAGAGGUGAAAUUCGUAGAUAUUCGGAAGAACACCAGUGGCGAAGGCGACUGACUGGACAAGUAUUGACGCUGAGGUACGAAAGCGUGGGGAGCAAACAGGAUUAGAUACCCUGGUAGUCCACGCCGUAAACGAUGAUAACUAGCUGUCCGGGCACUUGGUGCCGUGGGUGGUCGCGAGCUACGACAUUAAGUUAUACCGUCCGUCGGGUAGGUACGGUCGCGAGAUAAACUACAAUAGAUAGAGCGUGAGACGUGCGACGACGACGACGAGGAGAGG
rnacentral:rRNA from 1 species